CGUGUGUGAAGAAGGCCUCGGUKUAAGCACUUCAGUGAGGAGAAGGCUGUGGGUUAUACCCGCAAGAAGGACAUCACUCACAGAAGAAGCACCGGCUAACUCCGUGCCAGCAGCCGCGGUAAUACGGAGGGUGCGAGCGUUAAUCGGAAUUACUGGGCGUAAAGCGCGCGUAGGCGGCUUGAUAAGCCGGUUGUGAAAGCCCCGGGCUCAACCUGGGAACGGCAUCCGGAACUGUCAGGCUAGAGUGCAGGAGAGGAAGGUAGAAUUCCCGGUGUAGCGGUGAAAUGCGUAGAGAUCGGGAGGAAUACCAGUGGCGAAGGCGGCCUUCUGGACUGACACUGACGCUGAGGUGCGAAAGCGUGGGUAGCAAACAGGAUUAGAUACCCUGGUAGUCCACGCCGUAAACGAUGUCGACUAGCCGUUGGGGUCCUCGAGACCUUUGUGGCGCAGUUAACGCGAUAAGUCGACCGCCUGGGGAGUACGGCCGCAAGGUUAAAACUCAAAUGAAUUGACGGGGGCCCGCACAAGCGGUGGAGCAUGUGGUUUAAUUCGAUGCAACGCGAAGAACCUUACCUACCCUUGACAUCGAGCGAACUUUCCAGAGAUGGAUUGGUGCCUUCGGGAACGCUCAGACAGGUGCUGCAUGGCUGUCGUCAGCUCGUGUUGUGAAAUGUUGGGUUAAGUCCCGUAACGAGCGCAACCCUUGUCCCUAUUUGCCAGCGAUUCGGUCGGGAACUCUAGGGAGACUGCCGGUGACAAACCGGAGGAAGGUGGGGACGACGUCAAGUCAUCAUGGCCCUUACGGGUAGGGCUACACACGUGCUACAAUGGCCGGUACAGAGGGUGGCAAUGCCGCGAGGUGGAGCUAAUCUCAAAAAGCCGGUCUCAGUCCGGAUCGGAGUCUGCAACUCGACUCCGUGAAGUCGGAAUCGCUAGUAAUCGUGAAUCAGAAUGUCACGGUGAAUACGUUCCCGGGCCUUGUACACACCGCCCGUCACACCAUGGGAGUGGACUGCACCAGAAGUGGUUAGCCUAACUUCGGAGGGCGAUCACCACGG
rnacentral:rRNA from 1 species